GAUGUGCUAAAUCACUAGCACAAGCCUCCCCUUCCCUAUUUUUAGAAUAUGCUAGCCACUUCUAAACUAUUUUUAUCAUUAAAAUAUUCAUUUCUCUCUCUCCUUCACAUCAUUUCCCUCUCUUUUUUCCCUCUCUCCUCCACUAUUUAAUAUUAUUAUAGUAAUAGGGAAUGGAUAUAGGGAGUACUAUUGGAGCUCAUGUGCUAAAUCUUGUGCUAAAU
rnacentral:lncRNA from 1 species